ACUACCUUGGUGUAAUGGUAUCAUAACUGACUGGUUCACAAUUGAUGUGGGUUUGAAUCCUACAGGUAGCC
rnacentral:tRNA from 1 species